rnacentral:lncRNA from 1 species
UUAUUUGUUGAUUUAGUGUAUACAGCAUUGCGCUCUUAAAUAAAUUUUGCAGUACAUACUUGGAUUUUUUUUAUUAACUUUGUUGUUGUGAGCUAAAAUUAUUUAUAGGUGCUUCAUGUUUUAAUUUAGUCGUUUUGUCUGCUUUUAUUGUCUAAAUAUGAGGAAGUUGGCCAGGUGCUAGGAAGCAUGAGUGUGGGUGCGGGUACGGGAGUGCGCGGUAUGGGGAUACGGGAAUUCGGCAAAUAUUGCUAUAUUAAAAAUAUAUAUAUAUAUUAUGCAUGUAUUUCAAGAGUUGCAUAUAUAUUCAAACCAAAUAAUCAAAUAAUUAAGUUCAAUAUCCCUUACAAUUUAUAAUAGAAUUAUUUAAUAACACAAUUAUUACACUAUAAGGUAGUUAAGUGAUAAAAUAUUCAACUAAUCACAAAAUUAAUCAUUAACAAGAAUCCCCAAGUAUCGAAAAAUCCCCAAGAAUCAAGAGCACAGUGCGGCAGGUGAGUGAAGAAUCCCUGCUUUCUAGGCCAGGGGUAAUCAAACUUAUCUUAUAUUAUUACUUGCAUAAUAUGUUGUUGCAUAAUAUGUUUUUCUGUAUAAUCCAUUACCAUUUCAAGACUUAAUAAAGGGCAGAUUGAAUUGGUGAUCAUCUUGUGAAGUAUGAGUUUCUUUGUGUGUUUUGUGUGUAUGUGUGUUUUAUAGGGUAAUCAUGACUAGCAAUGUUUGUUUGCAACUGUGAUAUGGCCUGGUUG